CCUACGGGUGGCAGCAGUGGGGGAUAUUGCACAAUGGGGGGAACCCUGAUGCAGCGACGCCGCGUGGGUGAAGGAGUGCUUCGGCAUGUAAAGCCCUAUCGGCAGGGAAGAAGCAAGACGGUACCUGACUAAGAAGCCCCGGCUAACUACGUGCCAGCAGCCGCGUUAAUACGUAGGGGGCGAGCGUUAUCCGGAUUCACUGGGUGUAAAGGGAGCGUAGACGGCCAUGCAAGCCAGCGGUGAAAGGCCGGGGCCCAACCCCGGGACUGCCGUGUGACCUGGGCGGCUAGAGUGCGCGGGGGGCAGGCGGAAUUCGUGGUGUAGCGGUGAAAUGCGUAGAUAUCAGGAGGAACACCGGCGGCGAAGGCAGCCUGCUGGACUGCGACUGACGUUGAGGCUCGAAGGCGUGGGGAGCGAACAGGAUUAGAUACCCGAGUAGUC
rnacentral:rRNA from 1 species